rnacentral:rRNA from 1 species
GAUCCUGCCGGAGGCCAUUGCUAUCGGAGUCCGAUUUAGCCAUGCUAGUUGCACGAGUUUAGACUCGUAGCAUAUAGCUCAGUAACACGUGGCCAAACUACCCUACAGACCGCGAUAACCUCGGGAAACUGAGGCCAAUAGCGGAUAUAACUCUCAUGCUGGAGUGCAGAGAGUUAUAAACGUUCCGGCGCUGUAGGAUGUGGCUGCGGCCGAUUAGGUAGAUGGUGGGGUAACGGCCCACCAUGCCGAUAAUCGGUACAGGUUGUGAGAGCAAUUACCCUGGAGACCGUACUGACACAACGAUACCGGACCCUACGGGGCGCACAAGGCGCGAAACCUUUACACUGCACGACAGUGCGAUAGGGGGACUUCCAGCGUGAGGGCAUAUAACCCUCCCUCUUAUGUACCGCACGGUGGUACUAGGAACACAUGACUGGGCAAUGACCCGGUGUCACCGCGACGCGGUGAUACCCGGCAGUGCCCACGUGACGGCCGACUUUACCCGGCCCUCCGAGACCCCA